CAGGGAAUAGUUUAAGAAGAAUUUCAGCUUUGGGUGCUGAUGGUGGAGCNNGNGCUUCUUCCUUGA
rnacentral:tRNA from 1 species